rnacentral:rRNA from 1 species
AAUACCGCAUAUGCCCUAAGGGGGAAAGCGGGGGAUUCGCAAGAACCUCGCGUUUUCGGAGCGGCCGAUAUCGGAUUAGCUAGUAGGUGAGGUAAAGGCUCACCUAGGCGACGAUCCGUAGCUGGUCUGAGAGGACGACCAGCCACACUGGAACUGAGACACGGUCCAGACUCCUACGGGAGGCAGCAGUGGGGAAUUUUGGACAAUGGGCGCAAGCCUGAUCCAGCCAUGCCGCGUGAGUGAAGAAGGCCUUCGGGUUGUAAAGCUCUUUCAGCCGGAAAGAAAACGCACGGGAUAAUACCCYGUGUGGAUGACGGUACCGGAAGAAGAAGCACCGGCUAACUACGUGCCAGCAGCCGCGGUAAUACGUAGGGUGCGAGCGUUAAUCGGAAUUACUGGGCGUAAAGCGUGCGCAGGCGGUUUUGUAAGACAGAUGUGAAAUCCCCGGGCUUAACCUGGGAACUGCAUUUGUAACUGCAAGGCUAGAGUACGGCAGAGGGGGGUAGAAUUCCACGUGUAGCAGUGAAAUGCGUAGAUAUGUGGAGGAAUACCGAUGGCGAAGGCAGCCCCCUGGGUCGAUACUGACGCUCAUGCACGAAAGCGUGGGGAGCAAACAGGAUUAGAUACCCUGGUAGUCCACGCCCUAAACGAUGUCAACUAGGUGUUGGGGGAGGAGACUUCCUUAGUACCGCAGCUAACGCGUGAAGUUGACCGCCUGGGGAGUACGGUCGCAAGAUUAAAACUCAAAGGAAUUGACGGGGACCCGCACAAGCGGUGGAUUAUGUGGAUUAAUUCGAUGCAACGCGAAAAACCUUACCUACCCUUGACAUGCCAGGAACUUGCCAGAGAUGGC